CCUACGGGUGGCUGCAGUGGGGAAUAUUGCACAAUGGGGGAAACCCUGAUGCAGCGACGCCGCGUGAGUGAAGAAGUAUUUCGGUAUGUAAAGCUCUAUCAGCAGGGAAGCAAAUGACGGUACCUGACUAAGAAGCCCCGGCUAACUACGUGCCAGCAGCCGCGGUAAUACGUAGGGGGCAAGCGUUAUCCGGAUUUACUGGGUGUAAAGGGAGCGUAGACGGCAGAGCAAGUCUGAAGUGAAAGUCCGGGGCCCAACAGCCGGACUGCUUUGGAAACUGGAAGGCUAGAGUGCCGGAGAGGUAAGCGGAAUUCCUGGUGUAGCGGUGAAAUGCGUAGAUAUUAGGAGGAACACCAGUGGCGAAGGCGGCUUACUGGACUGUCACUGACGUUGAGGCUCGAAAGCGUGGGGAGCAAACAGGAUUAGAUACCCGAGUAGUC
rnacentral:rRNA from 1 species